rnacentral:rRNA from 1 species
UACGAAGGUGGCAAGCGUUGUUCGGAUUUACUGGGCGUACAGGGAGCGUAGGCGGUUGGAUAAGCCCUCCGUGAAAUCUCCAGGCUUAACCUGGAAAGUGCAGAGGGGACUGUUCAGCUAGAGGAUGGGAGAGGAGCGCGGAAUUCCCGGUGUAGCGGUGAAAUGCGUAGAGAUCGGGAGGAAGGCCGGUGGCGAAGGCGGCAUCCUGGACCAACACUGACACUGAGGAGCGAAAGCCAGGGGAGCAAACGGG